rnacentral:lncRNA from 1 species
ACUGGAUUCAUUGAGGAAGAAAGAGCCAGAGCGUGAUAUUAGAUGGGACUAUAGAUAGAUGCUCUCAGAUCAACAUUAUUGGAAAUACAACUAGUGCAAUAUAGAGUUCAAAGAAGGAUAACUAGAUUGAAAUAGUAUUUGAUUGCAGUUAUUUCGAUGUAGCUACAUAUCGAAAGUGCCCACAAGAGGUUUAUCAUAUGAUGAAGUAGCACUUCAUUAAUUUUAAAACAGUGAAGGA